rnacentral:lncRNA from 1 species
GCGCUCCCGGCGGCGCCUGCUAGUUGCUGGGCGCGCCCGGGAUGGCGGAGGCCUUGGAGGAAGCUCCUGCUCCCCUUCUCCCCCGCCCCCGCCCCGCGUUACUGGAAGGACUGUGUGGGAGAGACCCAGAAGCUCACGAUUAUUGAAUGCGGGCUGGGGGAGGGCCGGACAGCCCGUGCGGCUCGAAGGAAAACCAAAAGUGCGUCUGUUCGUGCUGCUGUGACACGGGGUUCCUCGGGGAGGUCCCUGCGUACCCCGGCCGCCCCCCCCCCAGUUGCUCACCCCCAACCCUCCAAGAUUUAUUUCACUAGGGCGGCCGAGGACCCGCAGAACACAGGGCGAGGCGAGUGGGAAAGUGUCACGAUUUUUUUUUUUCUAUGCCCUGCCCCCGUCCCCACCUCUAGUUUUCUGGGUUUUGCUGCUGCUGGGGAAGGGUUGAUCCGUUUUGCGUCAAAGGGCUGCAUUUACUCAGUCCUGCUGAGAGAGGCGCGUAAACACCCAAGCAGGCCAGGACGCAGGGAUGGGAAGGGGGGAGGGCCAGGCACCCAAGGCUGGUGCGUGCGUGUACGCCUGCACCACACCCCGUUCUCGAGCCUGCAGAGCUGCACAUUCUGCUGGGAGGGCAGCUGCAAAAAUGCGAGGAGUCUGGCCACUCAGCUUACCACGCGCACAAGUCCUUGGGGAUGGAGCUCAGGACAGAAUGUGUUUUA